rnacentral:rRNA from 1 species
UACGUAGGGUGCGAGCGUUGUCCGGAAUUACUGGGCGUAAAGAGCUCGUAGGUGGUUUGUCGCGUUGUUCGUGAAAUCUCACGGCUUAACUGUGAGCGUGCGGGCGAUACGGGCAGACUGGAGUACUGCAGGGGAGACUGGAAUUCCUGGUGUAGCGGUGGAAUGCGCAGAUAUCGGGAAGAACACCCGUGGCGAAGGCGGCUCUCUGGAACGCAACUGACGCUGAGACGCGAAAGCGUGGGGAGCAAACAGG